UGGUGGGAAAAUUUCAGUUUCAUGAGAAGUG
rnacentral:piRNA from 1 species